GACGAACGCUGGCGGCGUGCUUAACACAUGCAAGUCGAACGGUGAAGCGCCUUCCUUUUUGGUGGGUGUGGAUGAGUGGCGAACGGGUGAGUAACACGUGAGUAACCUGCCCCCUUCUUCUGGAUAACCGCAUGAAAGUGUGGCUAAUACGGGAUAUUCUGGGUCUGUCGCAUGAUGGGUCCGGGAAAGAUAUUGUUUCGGUGGGGGAUGGGCUCGCGGCCUAUCAGCUUGUUGGUGGGGUGAUGGCCUACCAAGGCGGUGACGGGUAGCCGGCCUGAGAGGGUGGACGGUCACACUGGGACUGAGACACGGCCCAGACUCCUACGGGAGGCAGCAGUGGGGAAUAUUGCACAAUGGGCGCAAGCCUGAUGCAGCGACGCCGCGUGGGGGAUGGAGGCCUUCGGGUUGUGAACCUCUUUCGCCAGUGAAGCAGGCCUGCCUCGUUUGUGGGUGGGUUGACGGUAGCUGGAUAAGAAGCGCCGGCUAACUACGUG
rnacentral:rRNA from 1 species